UUUUAAACACAACCGUAUUGUCCAUUCUUGUGUUGCUCUAAUUACCUGAGACUGGGUAAUUUAUAAAGAAAAAGGUUUAAUUGGCUCGUGGUUCUGCAGGUUGUGCAGGAA